rnacentral:tRNA from 1 species
GGGAGCAUAGCUCAGUUGGUUUAGAGCGUCUGCCCUACAAGCAGAGGGUCGGGGGUUCGACUCCCUCUGCUCCCA